GUUAUAACUCUGUUGGUAGAGUAUGAGACUCUUAAUCUCAGGGACAUGGGUGUGAGCCCCACAUGGGGUGAAAUA